rnacentral:rRNA from 1 species
AUUGAACGCUGGCGGCAGGCCUAACACAUGCAAGUCGAACGGUAACAGGAAGAAGCUUGCUUCUUUGCUGACGAGUGGCGGACGGGUGAGUAAUGUCUGGGAAACUGCCUGAUGGAGGGGGAUAACUACUGGAAACGGUAGCUAAUACCGCAUAACGUCGCAAGACCAAAGAGGGGGACCUUCGGGCCUCUUGCCAUCGGAUGUGCCCAGAUGGGAUUAGCUAGUAGGUGGGGUAACGGCUCACCUAGGCGACGAUCCCUAGCUGGUCUGAGAGGAUGACCAGCCACACUGGAACUGAGACACGGUCCAGACUCCUACGGGAGGCAGCAGUGGGGAAUAUUGCACAAUGGGCGCAAGCCUGGUGCAGCCAUGCCGCGUGUAUGAAGAAGGCCUUCGGGUUGUAAAGUACUUUCAGCGGGGAGGAAGGGAGUAAAGUUAAUACCUUGGCUCAUUGACGUUACCCGCAGAAGAAGCACCGGCUAACUCCGUG